rnacentral:lncRNA from 1 species
AUAAAUUAUGUAAUUAUACCUGACGAUCCGUCCUGAUCAUUACGCGUAGAAUCGCCACGGCCCCCACGACCUACAUGCCCACCACGAUCGCCGUGUGGUGCGCGCGCCAUAUGUAUGUAUACUGUCAAAUCAUAAAAAAAAUAUUAUUAAACAUUCGUAAAUACUAUAUUUGUGAACAGUAAGGAUAACAUACAUAUACAACUAAAAGAAUGCAACAUAAAUAUAGUAACCUAAAGGGAU